GGCGGCCUCUCCCCCGCCAGCGGCGCAGCUUUGGGGUCCAGCGGUGCGCAGUGAUGGCCAUCGUCAUUAAAGGGAAGGAGACCGGGCGCUGCGUGGCUCUGGGUUAGCAAAGGAGAUGGAGGAGGCGUCGGGGCGUGGGAACGGGCAGCUCACUCAUCCUAGCGUGGAAGGGACGCUACAGCCAGGACGAUGCCGACACGCGUCCCUCCCAGGUUUCCUCGCAUCAAAAGGAAGAGGAAAGAAGGGCUGUUCAUUUAUUAAGCACCUACUGUGUGCUAGGACGCUGUGUGGAGACCAUCUUAGUCGUCACAGAAACCAUGAGGUGGGAUCCUGCAGGUGCCAGAUGGGGAAGGCCCCCCAGAGAAGGGAUUGUGACCUGUCCAAGGACACCCAGCCAGCGAACGGUGCAGCCUCUGACACGAGCCGGUUGCCUGGCCUUGGUCAAGUCACUCCAUUCUCUGGGCCUCAGUUUCCUCAUCUGUCAAAUGAGAUUGACAACAGAACCUACCUCGAAGAAUUGUGAGGAUAAGAAGGGUUCAGACGUGUCAAGUGGUUAGGGCAGUGCCUGGCACAUAGUAGGUGUUCAAUAAAUGCUAGCCUUUGUUACUAUUAUU
rnacentral:lncRNA from 1 species